GAUGAAGAACGUAGCGAAAUGCGAUAAGUAAUGUGAAUUGCAGAAUUCAGUGAAUCAUCGAAUCUUUGAACGCACCUUGCACCCUUUGGCAUUCCGAAGGGUAUGCUCGUUUGAGUGUUAUUGUACUCUCACACUCUCCGAUCCUAUGGAUUCGGGGAGCGGUGGACUUGGGUGUUGCUGCCUUUCCUUGUGGCUCACCUCAAAUGUGUCAGUGCACCUCUUGGUUGGACAUACUACGGCGUGAUAAGUGUCUUCGCCGGCACCUCGCAAGAGGGUGGCCGAUCGGGAGCUCUGUGCUUUCAAACCGUCUUCGGACAAUUUCUGACAACUUGACCUCAAAUCGAGUAGGACUACCCGCUGAACUUAAGCAUAUCAAUAAGCGGAGGA
rnacentral:misc_RNA from 1 species